rnacentral:rRNA from 1 species
CAGUAGCCGCGGUAAUACGGAGGGUGCAAGCGUUAAUCGGAAUUACUGGGCGUAAAGCGCACGCAGGCGGUCUGACAAGUCAGAUGUGAAAUCCCCGGGCUUAACCUGGGAACUGCAUUUGAAACUGUCAGGCUGGAGUCUUGUAGAGGGGGGUGGAAUUCCAGGUGUAGCGGUGAAAUGCGUAGAGAUCUGGAGGAAUACCGGUGGCGAAGGCGGCCCCCUGGACAAAGACUGACGCUCAGGUGCGAAAGCGUGGGGAGCAAACAGGAUUAGAUACCCCUGUAGUCCCUGUCUCUAUACA